GGGGUGACUGCGUACCUUUUGUAUAAUGGGUCAGCGACUUACAUUCAGUGGCAAGGUUAACCGAAUAGGGAAGCCGUAGAGAAAUCGAGUCCGAACAGGGCGAUAGUCGCUGGGUGUAGACCCGAAACCAAGUGAUCUACUCAUGGCCAGGAUGAAGGUGCGGUAACACGCACUGGAGGUCCGAACCCACUAAUGUUGAAAAAUUAGGGGAUGAGCUGUGGGUAGGGGUGAAAGGCUAAACAAACUUGGAAAUAGCUGGUUCUCUCCGAAAACUAUUUAGGUAGUGCCUCAAGUAUCACCAUCGGGGGUAGAGCACUGUUAUGGCUAGGGGGUCAUCGCGACUUACCAAACCAUUGCAAACUCCGAAUACCGAUGAGUGCGAGCUUGGGAGACAGACGUCGGGUGCUAACGUCCGGCGUCAAGAGGGAAACAACCCAGACCGCCAGCUAAGGUCCCAAAGAUUGGCUAAGUGGAAAACGAAGUGGGAAGGCUAAAACAGUCAGGAUGUUGGCUUAGAAGCAGCCAUCAUUUAAAGAAAGCGUAAUAGCUCACUGAUCGAGUCGUCCUGCGCGGAAGAUGUAACGGGGCUAAGCCAGUCACCGAAGCUGCGGAUAUCCGCAAGGAUAUGGUAGGAGAGCGUUCUGUAAGCCUGCGAAGGUGUCUUGUAAAGGAUGCUGGAGGUAUCAGAAGUGCGAAUGCUGACAUGAGUAGCGAUAAUGGGGGUGAAAAGCCCCCACGCCGUAAGCCCAAGGUUUCCUGUUCAACGUUCAUCGGAGCAGGGUGAGUCGGCCCCUAAGGCGAGGCAGAGAUGCGUAGCUGAUGGGAAGCAGGUUAAUAUUCCUGCACCGUCGUAUGAUGCGAUGGGGGGACGGAUCGCGGAAGGUUGUCUGACUGUUGGAAUAGUCAGUUUCUGGUUCAUAGAAGG
rnacentral:rRNA from 1 species